ACCCAGACUCCUACGGGAGGCAGCAGUGGGGAAUAUUGCACAAUGGGGGAAACCCUGAUGCAGCGACGCCGCGUGAGCGAUGAAGUAUUUCGGUAUGUAAAGCUCUAUCAGCAGGGAAGAAAAUGACGGUACCUGACUAAGAAGCCCCGGCUAACUACGUGCCAGCAGCCGCGGUAAUACGUAUGGAGCAAGCGUUAUCCGGAUUUACUGGGUGUAAAGGGAGCGCAGGCGGCCUUGCAAGUCUGAUGUGAAAGGCCGGGGCCCAACCCCGGGACUGCAUUGGAAACUGCGAGGCUGGAGUGUCGGAGAGGCAGGCGGAAUUCCUAGUGUAGCGGUGAAAUGCGUAGAUAUUAGGAGGAACACCAGUGGCGAAGGCGGCUUACUGGACUGUAACUGACGUUGAGGCUCGAAAGCGUGGGGAGCAAACAGGAUUAGAUACCCGCGUACU
rnacentral:rRNA from 1 species